CAGUCGCCGCGGUAAUACGAAGGGGGCUAGCGUUGCUCGGAAUUACUGGGCGUAAAGGGAGCGUAGGCGGAUCGUUAAGUUGGGGGUGAAAGCCCGGGGCUCAACCUCGGAACUGCCUUCAAUACUGGCGAUCUUGAGUAUGAGAGAGGUGUGUGGAACUCCGAGUGUAGAGGUGAAAUUCGUAGAUAUUCGGAAGAACACCAGUGGCGAAGGCGACACACUGGCUCAUUACUGACGCUGAGGCUCGAAAGCGUGGGGAGCAAACAGGAUUAGAGACCCGCGUAGUCCCUGUCUCUUAUAC
rnacentral:rRNA from 1 species